GACGAACGCUGGCGGCGUGCUUAACACAUGCAAGUCGAGCGAGGUCCUACCGGUGGCAACACCGGGAAAGACCUAGCGGCGAACGGGUGAGUAACACGUGAGGAACCUGCCCCGAAGACCGGGAUAACCCUCCGAAAGGGGGGCUAAUACCGGAUACCCUCUUCCGGUCGCAUGGCUGGAUGAGGAAAGGGCUUUACCGCUUCGGGAGGGCCUCGCGGCCUAUCAGCUUGUUGGUGAGGUAACGGCUCACCAAGGCGACGACGGGUAGCUGGUCUGAGAGGACGAUCAGCCACACUGGGACUGAGACACGGCCCAGACUCCUACGGGAGGCAGCAGUGGGGAAUCUUGCGCAAUGGGCGAAAGCCUGACGCAGCAACGCCGCGUGCGGGAUGAAGGCCUUCGGGUUGUAAACCGCUUUCAGUGGGGACGAAUCCAGACGGUACCCACAGAAGAAGCCCCGGCCAACUAC
rnacentral:rRNA from 1 species